UACGAAGGGGGCUAGCGUUGCUCGGAAUCACUGGGCGUAAAGCGCACGUAGGCGGCUUCUUAAGUCAGGGGUGAAAUCCUGGAGCUCAACUCCAGAACUGCCUUUGAUACUGGCGAUCUUGAGUCCGGGAGAGGUGAGUGGAACUGCGAGUGUAGAGGUGAAAUUCGUAGAUAUUCGCAAGAACACCAGUGGCGAAGGCGGCUCGCUGGGCCAUUCCUGACGCUGAGGCGCGAAAGCUAGGGGAGCGAACGGG
rnacentral:rRNA from 1 species